ensembl:misc_RNA Y_RNA Y RNA
GUCUGGUCCAAAGGCAGUGAGUUAUCCCAACUGAUUGCUCACAGUCAGUUACAGGUCAAACUCCCUGUUCCACUCUUCCCCUCUUCUCACUACUGCACUUGACUAGUCUUCA